UACGUAGGGUGCGAGCGUUAAUCGGAAUUAUUGGGCGUAAAGAGCUCGUAGGCGGUCUGUCGCGUCGGCUGUGAAAACCUGGGGCUUAACUCCGGGCCUGCAGCCGAUACGGGCAGACUAGAGUUCGGCAGGGGAGACUGGAAUUCCUGGUGUAGCGGUGAAAUGCGCAGAUAUCAGGAGGAACACCGGUGGCGAAGGCGGGUCUCUGGGCCGAUACUGACGCUGAGGAGCGAAAGCGUGGGGAGCAAACAGG
rnacentral:rRNA from 1 species